rnacentral:rRNA from 1 species
UGGGCUUGACAUCCUUGGAAUCUUGUAGAGAUACGAGAGUGCCUUCGGGAACCAAGUGACAGGUGGUGCAUGGCUGUCGUCAGCUCGUGUCGUGAGAUGUUGGGUUAAGUCCCGCAACGAGCGCAACCCUCGUCCUGUGUUACCAUAUCCUUCGGGAAGGGACUCACAGGAGACCGCCUGUAAAAAGCAGGAGGAAGGUGGGGACGACGUCAAGUCAUCAUGCCCCUUACGUCCAGGGCUACACACAUGCUACAAUGGCCGGUACAAAGGGUCGCGAAACCGCAAGGUGGAGCUAAUCUCACAAAACCGGCCCCAGUUCGGAUUGAAGGCUGCAACUCGCCUUCAUGAAGCCGGAAUUGCUAGUAAACGUGCAUCAGCUAUGGCGCGUUGAAUACGUUCCCGGGUCU